rnacentral:lncRNA from 1 species
GAACUCCUACUCAGAUGGAAGCUUCAUAGCCCAGCUCUGGCGAAAGCAUCUUGAGUAUCCAUUCUCUCACUAUAGCUGAUACGUACCUGAGAAUUAUUUUAUAUGCUCAUGGGUGACCAUAUGGGCUAAGCUGAAGAUUAAAAUGCAUCAGAAUCUGUGUGUGAAAAAAAUGCAAAGCAAGGACUGGGACAUCCCAGAAACCAAGUCAUCUCAGUUCUCCCACAUUGCAAACGCUAUUGUACACAGCUCAGGGUACUCAAUCAGAUGGAGGAAAUGA